rnacentral:lncRNA from 1 species
GUCACAAGUGAAGAUCAGCAACCUGAUACAAAGUGAAUCAAUCCCAGAGUGGCCUCAGAGAAGACUAGCAAACGCGAGCAAGGCGGAGCAAUGCCAGCACCUCCUUCCAUGUCUGUGGAGUCAUAUUUAUAUUCUUUCUAUACAUCAUGUGUUCUUUCAUGUGUCUGCUUCAGCAAAACAUCCUCUCACCUCUAUCUGCUUCAGCAAAAAUCCUCUCACCUUUAUCUGCUUCAGCAAAACAUCCUCUCUCACCUCUAUCUGCUUCAGCAAAACAUCCUCUCACCUCUAUCUGCUUCAGCAAAACAUCCUCUCACCUCCAUCUGCUUCAGCAAAACAUCCUCUCACCUCCAUCUGCUUCAGCAAAACAUCCUCUCACCUCUAUCUGCUUCAGCAAAACAUCCUCUCUCACCUGUCUGCCUCAGCAUACAUCAGAUGACAGAGUCAAGUUUCCAUAGAAAUCAGAAAUUUCCACCCCACUGUGCCACAUAUAUAUUUUACUACAAUAAAAAUUACUGCAAAGAGAAAAACAAUCACACCGAGGGCUCUGUGAUCUCAGCACAAAACCCCUGGAAUUUAGACCUCAAUGGGUAGAUUGAAAACUGAGUCAGAUCCGUUAGUAUCUGCAGAAGGAAGGCCAUGUUCCAGUCACAAGAACGUGAUAUGAGCUGCAGAGUGGGCUUGUUCUAAGGCUCUCAGUGGAAAGUCUCGAGCUGGCUUCAUCGCUAACUGCAUCUGUACACUGAACAGCUUUUUGCCUGUUGGGAUAAAUUGGGAAAUUUUCCAAUUAUCUACAUUGCUUCCUGCAGGUUGACUCUACUCAAUACACAGAUCAGGUUUAUUUGUUAGGAAUAAAAUAUUCUUCUGAUUG